rnacentral:lncRNA from 1 species
GUGCUGUCCCAGGUCUCCGGACUUCGUGUCAGGCUGCAAGUUGGCAGCCAGGCUCAGAUAUGGGGUGAGGAUUCUGUUUUCAGGAGUACCACUCUCCUUUCUACUCCGGUUUUAGGCGCAGGAACAGACCCCACAGAGCUGAGCGGGAGGCAGAGAUAAUUUUUCUAGAACCUCAACUCACCUGGCUGGGUAGAGCUGGAACCCCCUGAAUUUGCAGUGGGCCUGUAGUCCAGCUCUCUGCUCUGGUCCUCUCCUCCACCUGCUUUAGACGUUUUCUUCUCCUGCACCGCAGCCUGGCCUCCCCAGACGUCCUUCUGUUAUACCUCAGGACAGCCAGAGCCUGUUGGCUAAUGCCAGAGGGCUGAUCGAGUUCAGGGAUCCGGUUCUGUUGCAUUGGACCACGCAGGU